ACAUUUCGAUCUGGUGGUGGGCUCGCUGAGGCGGCCUUGACCAGUCAUGCGUGAUUGAGACAUCAAGCCGCCCGGAGAUUUCGAGGCGGCUUUUUC
rfam:Ensifer adhaerens OV14 chromosome 1 sequence.